CCUACGGGAGGCAGCAGUGAGGAAUAUUGGACAAUGGGCGCAAGCCUGAUCCAGCCAUGCCGCGUGCAGGAAGACGGUCCUAUGGAUUGUAAACUGCUUUUAUACAGGAAGAAACACCUCUACGUGUAGAGACUUGACGGUACUGUAUGAAUAAGCAUCGGCUAACUCCGUGCCAGCAGCCGCGGUAAUACGGAGGAUGCAAGCGUUAUCCGGAAUCAUUGGGUUUAAAGGGUCCGUAGGCGGUUUAAUAAGUCAGUGGUGAAAGCCCAUCGCUCAACGAUGGAACGGCCAUUGAUACUGUUAAACUUGAAUUAUUAGGAAGUAACUAGAAUAUGUAGUGUAGCGGUGAAAUGCUUAGAGAUUACAUGGAAUACCAAUUGCGAAGGCAGGUUACUACUAAUAUAUUGACCGCUGAUGGACGAAGCGUGGGAGCGAACAGGUAUUAGACUACCCGUGGUACGUCCACGACCGUAAACGAGUAGUAGUACUACGUACGUCGUUACGGUACGGUACGACUACGUAGUAGGUGGUACGUAACGUACGAAGUAAGUAAGUAAGUUAACGUACCCGUACCCGUACGGGGUACGGGUUACGGUUACGUACCGAACGAAGUAGUAACGUAACGUAAACGGUAAAGUUAGUACGGUACGUAGAGACGACGACGACGGACGACGACGAGGGAGGAGG
rnacentral:rRNA from 1 species